rnacentral:rRNA from 1 species
ACGAACGCUGGCGGCUGCUUAACACAUGCAAGUCGAACGGAGUGGCGAACGGGUGAGUAACGCGUGAGCAACCUGCCUAUGACAGUGGGAUAGCCUCGGGAAACCGGGAUUAAUACCGCAUAGUCAUAGAUGGGCUCGCGUCUGAUUAGCUAGUUGGUGAGAUAACAGCUCACCAAGGCGACGAUCAGUAGCCGGUCUGGGAGUAUGAACGGCCACAUUGGAACUGAGAGACGGUCCAAACUCCUACGGGAGGCAGCAGUGGGGAAUAUUGCACAAUGGGCGGAAGCCUGAUGCAGCGACGCCGCGUGGGGGAUGAAGGCCUUCGGGUUGUAAACUCCUUUCGACAGGGACGCGGUACCUGUAUAAGAAGCACCGGCUAACUACGUGCCAGCCGCCGCGGUAAUAC